rnacentral:tRNA from 2 species
GGCAAUGUAGCAAAGUGGUUACUGCGUUUGACUCGAAAUCAAAUUCCUUCGGGAGCGUAGGUUCGAGUCCUGCCAUUGUCG